rnacentral:piRNA from 1 species
UCCAUCUCCCAAUGAAUGCAAACGGCCA